rnacentral:rRNA from 1 species
UACACUCCUGCGGGAGGCAGCAGUGGGGAAUUUUGGACAAUGGGCGAAAGCCUGAUCCAGCAAUGCCGCGUGAGUGAAGAAGGCCUUCGGGUUGUAAAGCUCUUUUGUCAGGGAAGAAACGGUGAGAGCUAAUAUCUCUUGCUAAUGACGGUACCUGAAGAAUAAGCACCGGCUAACUACGUGCCAGCAGCCGCGGUAAUACGUAGGGUGCAAGCGUUAAUCGGAAUUACUGGGCGUAAAGCGUGCGCAGGCGGUUUUGUAAGUCUGAUGUGAAAUCCCCGGGCUCAACCUGGGAAUUGCAUUGGAGACUGCAAGGCUAGAAUCUGGCAGAGGGGGGUAGAAUUCCACGUGUAGCAGUGAAAUGCGUAGAUAUGUGGAGGAACACCGAUGGCGAAGGCAGCCCCCUGGGUCAAGAUUGACGCUCAUGCACGAAAGCGUGGGGAGCAAACAGGAUUAGAUACCCCUGUAGUCCCAUGAU